rnacentral:rRNA from 1 species
GAAUCUGCCCACUGAUGAAAAUUAAAGGGCUGCAGUAUUUUGACUGUACAAAGGUAGCAUAAUCAUUAGUCUCUUAAUUGGUGACUUGUAUGAAUGAUUUGAUGAGAUAUAAUCUGUCUCUAAUUUAUAAAUAGAAUUUAAUUUUUACAUUAAAAAGUUUAAAUAAAUUUAAAAGACGAGAAGACCCUAUAGAGUUUAAUAAAUUAAAUAAUUAAAAUAGUAUAUUAAUUAAAUAAAUUGAAAUUAUUUUAAUUUAUUUUGUUGGGGUGAUAGAAAAAUAAAAAAAACUUUUUUUUAAAAAAGACAUUAAUAAGUGAUUAUAUGAUCCAGAAAUUUUGAUUAUAAGAAAAAAUUACCUUAGGGAUAACAGCGUAAUUUUUUUUUUUAGUUCAAAUAAGAAAAAGAGUUUGCGACCUCGAUGUUGGAUUAAGAUAAAAUUUAAAUGCAAAAGUUUAAAAUUUUGAUCU